GAUGUGGUGGGGGAGUGGUGAGAGAGAAAAAGGAGUUAAACAAGGACGGAGUCUCCAUCAGCUGAGACAGGGAAGACAAUAGGUGUGGUAGAGGCAGUAUGUGGGACAUGCUACAUUUGAGACAUCUGUUAAACAUCUAAGCAGAUGGGAACAUGGUUAACUCACAAACAUGUAUUACAAGUUUUCUUCCUCCUCCCUUCUUUAAUUCCUCAAGAAACCUACACAGGAGUCCACUAUCACCUCAAACUCAGCCUCUGUGACAAUGUGAUCAGCAGUUUCACCCCAUCCUCCUCUGCUCAAUUUCCUGCCUUUGUCAAGGCUUCAGUCUCCUCCUUGGCGCUCAGUGUCCCAUCCUGCCCAUCCUGCUGAAAUGCAUCUAAGAAGACUGGGGAGGGCAAUGGCCACAGAGGGGUGGCAGAAGGCCAUCCUGUCCACUCCCCACCGGCAGGCACAAUGACCACUCCCAGCUCCUCCAGAUUCCCCAAAGCAGCCACUAUCCCCACCUUGUCUGCAAGUUCCCAUGUCCUCCACACACCCCUCUGCUGCACAUUCUUCCCAACCUAACUACAAAGAACUGAAUGGAAUCAGUUUUGUUUCCAUACACCAGGAAUAAAUAAAAUGGUUACUCCAG
rnacentral:lncRNA from 1 species